rnacentral:rRNA from 1 species
UCAAGAAUAUUCCUCAAUGGACGAAAGUCUGAAGGAGCGACGCCGCGUGCAGGAUGAAGCCCCUCGGGGUGUAAACUGCUUUUAUAGGGGACGAAUUUGUGACGGUACCCUAAGAAUAAGAGGUUGCUAACUCUGUGCCAGCAGCAGCGGUAAUACAGAGACCUCAAACGUUAUCCGGAUUCAUUGGGCGUAAAGCGUCCGCAGGUGGUUUAAAAAGUUGAUGGUUAAAUCUCGGGGCUUAACUUCGAGACUGCUGUCAAUACUGUUAAACUAGAGGUUGGUAGAGGCAAGCGGAACUAUCGGUGUAGUCGUAAUAAGCGCUGAUAUCGAUAGGAACACCAAAGGCGAAGGCAGCUUGCUAGAACAAACCUGACACUCAGGGACUAAAGCGUGGGGAGCGAAUAGG